rnacentral:rRNA from 1 species
UGAGGAAUAUUGGUCAAUGGGCGAGAGCCUGAACCAGCCAAGUAGCGUGCAGGAUGACGGCCCUAUGGGUUGUAAACUGCUUUUGUAUGGGGAUAAAGUCAGUCACGUGUGAUUGUUUGCAGGUACCAUACGAAUAAGGACCGGCUAAUUCCGUGCCAGCAGCCGCGGUAAUACGGAAGGUCCGGGCGUUAUCCGGAUUUAUUGGGUUUAAAGGGAGCGUAGGCUGGAGAUUAAGUGUGUUGUGAAAUGUAGACGCUCAACGUCUGACUUGCAGCGCAUACUGGUUUCCUUGAGUACGCACAACGUUGGCGGAAUUCGUCGUGUAGCGGUGAAAUGCUUAGAUAUGACGAAGAACUCCGAUUGCGAAGGCAGCUGACGGGAGCGCAACUGACGCCGAAGCUCGAAGGUGCGGGUAUCGAACAGGAUUAGAUACCCUGGUAGUCCGCACAGUAAACGAUGGAUGCCCGCUGUUGGUACCUGGUAUCAGCGGCUAAGCGAAAGCAUUAAGCAUCCCACCUGGGGAGUACGCCGGCAACGGUG